CGGCCGGCGCUUGCCGAUCAACCCAAAUUUUUAUCCAGGUUGACCUCGGAUCAGGUAGGGAUACCCGCUGAACUUAAGCAUAUCAAUAAGCGGAGGAA
rnacentral:rRNA from 1 species